CAGUCGCCGCGGGAAUACGUAGGUCCCGAGCGUUGUCCGGAUUUAUUGGGCGUAAAGCGAGCGCAGGCGGUUAGAUAAGUCUGAAGUUAAAGGCUGUGGCUUAACCAUAGUACGCUUUGAUACUGUUUAACUUGAGUGCAAGAGGGGAGAGUGGGAUUCCAUGUGUAGCGGUGAAAUGCGUAGAUAUAUGGAGGAACACCGGUGGCGAAAGCGGCUCUCUGGCUUGUAACUGACGCUGAGGCUCGAAAGCGUGGGGAGCAAACAGGAUUAGAUACCCGCGUAGUCCCUGUCUCUUAUACAA
rnacentral:rRNA from 1 species